UACGAGUGCCCCGAGCGUUAUCCGGAAUUAUUGGGCGUAAAGCGUGUGUAGGUGGUCAUGUUAGUCUCCUGCGAAAUUCUUCGGCUCAACCGGGGCAUGAUGGGAGAAACGGCACGACUUGAGGAUGCGAGGGGUGUGUGGAACUCUAGGUGUAGGGGUGAAAUCCGUUGAUAUCUAGGGGAACACCAAAAGCGAAGGCAGCACACUGGCGCAUUCCUGACACUGAGACACUAAAGCGUGGGUAGCGAAUGGG
rnacentral:rRNA from 1 species